rnacentral:lncRNA from 1 species
CGCGAGCAGGGGCAGACGGAGGCGGCAGUCCAGGCGAGGCGCGUGCGGGGCGACGCACGGGCGCGCGGGUGUGGGACGACACGGGCGGCGGCGAGCUCCGGCGACGGGCGGCGGCGUCGAGCUCGGCUGGUCCCGGUCAGCUGCUGCAAGAGAUCUCAGAUCUGCUGGGGAAACGGGCUAAGGCAGAGCGGCGAGCUAGACGGCGAGCGAGCAGACGGCGGCACAAACGGCGGCGACGAGCGGCGGAGGGGGCGUGCGACGGCGGUGAACGGCGGAGGCGUGCGGCUUCUCCAACUUGCUGGUUGCUGGGUUUUCAAAGAAGAAGGAGAUGAAGAAGAUGGAGAUGGAGGAGUCGCACGGUAGAGAAGAAGAAGAGAGGGAGGAGAGAGAAGGAGG